rnacentral:rRNA from 1 species
UACGUAGGUGGCAAGCGUUGUCCGGAUUUACUGGGCGUAAAGAGCGCGCAGGCGGUCGUUCAAGUCGCGUGUGAAAGCCCCCGGCUCAACUGGGGAGGGUCACGCGAUACUGAGCGACUCGAAGGCAGGAGAGGGUAGUGGAAUUCCCGGUGUAGUGGUGAAAUGCGUAGAUAUCAGGAGGAACACCGGUGGCGAAGGCGGGUCUCUGGGCCGAUACUGACGCUGAGGAGCGAAAGCGUGGGGAGCGAACAGG